CAGUUGAGUCAGAGCUCCUUGUAUAAAUAAGAAAGACGAGGAGAUAGCCAACGUGUUUAGGUGUUAUCGCUAACGUGUUAUCGCUAAUGGCUUAAUUGGCUCGCCAACAAGCUUUAUGCAAAAGAAGAAAAAAGCAAGGAGGUACAUGUAGCCAACGUGUACCACAGAAUAAAGAUCAGUAACAGAAGGGCCACUCAGCGGUGCAACGUGUCCGCAUUUUUUUAUGCAAAAAUAUGCAGUUUACUGGCCAGAAGGCGGAGCAGCCAGCCAGUACAGCGUGUUUAUUGGCCAGAAAAUGUCAUUGACUGGCUAGGAAAAUGGCGGCCAACAUGCGUAAUGCGACAUGCGCGAGGACAGAAACUUCAAAGCUUCCGACGUAAGUGGCCCUUCUAUAUGGAUCUUUAUUCUAUGACGUGUACAUUCACGGACCGUGUCUUUGUUUACUGUCUAGUGUCUAGCACAACGCCGUUGUCAACGGUGCAAACUCGUAUUCAGUGC